GCGCGCCCAAGGAAAGACCUACAGCUAGGCAAAACGCCAGUGCCCAAGGGGCAAUGAAGUUUUGGGCAUUCACCACGGUACCGACAUAGAGCAAGUAAGUUGGGAAGAAGUAACUUUCGCAAGAACUGAGGACACUAUUCGCCGGCACCAUACCGAUCCCUUUCUAAUCACCAUGUAAAUUGACCACUACAUUUGUGGGCAGGUCCUAGUAGAUUCCGGGGCGACGGUAAAUAUCAUAUACAAUGACUGCUACAAAGGACUCGAGCGCAAGAGAAACAAGCUUUACCAAAAUCUCGAGCCGUUGAUCAGCUUCUCAGGGGACAUCACCCAAUCGCUUGGCUCCGACAGGCUCAGAAUCACCCUUGGUGCUAGCCCUACCGUCGCCUCUAUCUCAACACAAUUUACCGUGGUUGACUGCCUCUCUUCUUACAAUGUAAUCCUUGGGAGAGAUGCUAUCUGGGGCUUGCAAUGCUUUGUGGCAAGACAUAUGCUAAUGAUAAAAUUACCUACACCGGGAGGAAUUCUCUGAGUGGAAACCAGGAAGUAGCACGACAAUGUAACUCACUCACGAUAGCAAGAGCAAAGGGCUGCAACGAGAUACUCUCGGUAGGCGACAAACCUUCUGUGGCAGACAAACUUGAUGACCCAAGGGAGGACCCGGAACCAGAGAAACAACUAGAAAAGAGAAAGAAAAAGGCAGCGAAGCCAUCGAGACCCGACUCCGCAGAGAUUCGUCCAUCUCGGACGAGCAGCCCGACAAAUGAGUGCGUAUAGACACCAACUUUUCGGUUAAAGAAAAGAGGUUAGUGUGACUACCCAGCCCGUUCACCGCCUCCAUUCACGUUCGAUUCACUGACCACAAAAGUCAAAAACUGAUGCUGAGAUGAUCACUGCGUAAGACCACCGAGGCACCGAACAUGGAAAGUAUAUCCCCCGCGCCGGCAGAGUC
rnacentral:lncRNA from 1 species